CUCGUCAGAGUGGUAGUGAUGUGUAGACGUAACUUCAUAUCACAGCCAGCUUUGAUGAG
rnacentral:pre_miRNA from 1 species